UAUAUUUUAAGUGUAUACAAAAUUUGAAUAGCCUUGGCGGACUCGGUUAGAUGCCCUGCGCAAGGUAUCACCGAGUAUGAGUUUUGGCACGAGCCAAAGUUUUAAGAAAUUCAUAAGCCAAGUUGAUUACUCAAUUUUUAUGGAUUGAUUUUAUUUGGUUGAAAUGAGUUGAAAGGUAAUGAAAUUACAGUAUGAUGAUUUAUUUUAAUUGUCUCCAUUUACUCGACUUUAGAUAGUUUAGAUGGUAUCUGUUUACUCACUGGGAUUUUAUAAUCUCACCACCCUCAUUUUCUCACAUUUCAGGCUCGGGGAAUUCCAUAGUUAGCUGACUUUGACAAAGACUUUCAUUUGGACUCGAAUCGGUACAAGUUGUAGGUUUCCAGCUUCCGAUGCAUUUUGGAUAGAUGUGGGCCCACGUGUCACUGUAAAAGAAAUUUUAUGCUUUGGUUAUUUGCUUUAUAGUAUAUAUGAAUAUAAUUAUCUUUUAUGCUAUAAGAAUUAUGUACCGAUAGUUUUAUGAAAAUU
rnacentral:lncRNA from 1 species